UGCCCCGUAGUGUAAUGGUAGCACAUCUGAUUUUGGUUCAGCUAGUUAAGGUUCGAAUCCUUGCGGGGUAGCCA
rnacentral:tRNA from 1 species